CAUGGAGGGUGAGAAUCCCGUCCGGUUGACCACAGGAUGUUUUACGUUACGCUCUCUAAGAGUCGAGUUGUUUGGGAUUGCAGCUCAAAAUGGGAGGUAAAUUUCUCCUAAGGCUAAAUAACGGCGAGAGACCGAUAGCGAACAAGUACCGUGAGGGAAAGAUGAAAAGAACUUUGAAAAGAGAGUUAAAUAGUACGUGAAAUUGUUGAAAGGGAAACGAUUGAAGCCAGUCGUACUGGCGGGCAAUCAGCCUUUUGGGUGUGAUUAUGUGGAGCGUGAGGAGCUAAUCACCUUCAUGCCUGCAUAUUCGUGCACUUUGGGUGUACUUGCUCGUGUGGUAGGUUAACAUCAAUUUUGAUCGUCAUAAAAUGGUUGGAGGAAUGUAGCUUCGAUCUCGUAUUGAAGUGUUAUAGCCUUCGGUAGAUGUGAUGAUCGGGAUUGAGGAUUGCAACGGAUACCCUUCGGGGCUACCUGUCUGAUCUCUGAUCGUUGCUUUGGUGCCGAAAGCUUGCUUACGGUUAUCAAAGUCGAUGGUCAACAGGUUAGGACGGGUUAAAUUCGUUAAGGAUGUUGACGUAAUGG
rnacentral:rRNA from 1 species